AAUUUUAAUAUUAAAUACAAUAACAUCAAAAUUUUUUUCUUAAACUACAUAAAAAUCAAUAUAUGAUAAAUAUUUUGUGACAAAGAAAAUAUGUUACUUGAUCAUGAAAAACAAUACUUCAAAGCUUUAAGUAUCAAAACUAAGGACUUAUCUUAAUAGUAAAAAGCAUUUCUUAAAAAAAUCUAGAAAUCUCUAAAUUAAGUUUCUCUAGUUUAGUCUAAUUUUUUGUUAUGCAUAUUCUUAAUUAUAUGUUAAUCAAAUAAUGAUUUUAAAACUUGAAUACUUAAUUUUCAACAUUGAAUUUUUUGGGUUGAUGAAACAAUAUCUUAUUUGGUUUGCUGAAAAUUCAUCUCAUGGUAUACUAAUUUCAUAUAUGUUAAAAGUUAAUUAUUUCGUCAUAAUUGCAAUAUCAAUUUACAUUUUUACUUUUAAAAACUACAAUUUGUACAACAAAUAUCAAAAUUUCCUUGGUUGGUUUUUUUUAUAUAUAAAAAAAAUUGUAAUUUGAGAAUAAAAAAAAAUUAGAAGUAUUAGAAUUUGAAUUUUAAAUUUGUUAGAUUUUAUUUUUUAAAAAUAAUUAUAUGAAUCAAUUAAAUUAAAUUUUAAAUUUAAAUCAAUUUUUUAUAAUAUAAUCACCUAAUCUCUAUUUAAUUAAAUGAGAGUAACAACUCCACCCUUUAAAAUCGUUACGUAAGAUGGUAAGAGAUUCAAAGCAUGAAAAGAUUUUUUUUUUUUUUUUUUUGAGGAAGAAUUGGAGGGCUUAGCAAAGGAAAAAAGAGAACAAGAAAGGGAAGCAAUGGAAUUGUGAUUGUCAAUAAAAAGGAAAAGAUGAAAGGAGCAUUGAUAAAAGGGUUGUCGGUUCGUAUAACUAAAGUUUUACAGCGUGUGAAAAUAAUAGGGAGAGCAAAGCAAAUACGAGGGUGAGAGAGGGAUUAUUAGUCAAACCUAUGCUUUGAAUUUCCAUCCAUACUUUCAUUACUAUUGGCUAACAUGGCUGGUGGGCUGUCAUAAAAAAAUUUACAUGGCUUAUUAAGAAUUUAAAACAAGAUUUGAAACAUCUUUAAGCUUGAAAACAAAGCAAGUUAAAUGCCCAUUUUUUUCCUCAUUCUUUUUGUCUCCUUUCACUAAGGGAAUCUUCCAGGUUUGGGAGCGGUCGGGAAAUUUGUAAAGUUUUUAGUAAUUAUUUUUAAAGAGAAAAAAAGAAGGAAUUGGAAAAGUGUCUUUCAUUUGAUUAGUAUUUCAUUGAUAUUUGAUUUGAAGCUGAUACAUCUUUUCAUCAUUGACAUAACAAAACCAAAUCAACUGUGUUUUUAGGCUUGCUAAUCAAUUGAUGGGGAUGAUGAUGACAAAAGGAAAUUGAAGCUGAUUGUUUAAGAAAUUAUUAAAGUCCUCUUUUUCUCUUUUUUUUUUUUUAAAAGGAAAAUUUCGAGUGUAUUUACAAGGAAUAAGCCAAAAAUAUAUAUUAAUUGAAAUUGAUUCAAAUUAUAGUGAUAAGUUUGGAUUUGUUUUUUAUUAUAGUCAAUUUGGAUGUUGAAUGUUUCUAUCAGGAUUUUUGGUUCAUAGAAUAAAACCUCAAAACUAUCCAAACGAAAUUCAAUUUUAUUUUUAUUAAUUUUAUUUUAAUUUUAAAUUUUAUAUAAAAUAAAUUAUAAAUUAAAAAAAUAGAAUCGAUCCAAAUCUUAAAAUUCAAUUCAAAUCAAUUUAAUUACAAAAAAUAUUCAAUUCGUUAUUUUUAAAAUAAAAAUGUUUCACAUUAAUCAAAAUCCUUUAAAAUAUUGAACCAAGCGAUAAUCACCUCUAAUAUUUAUCAUUAAACCAAACAUAAGUUGCUAGAAUAUCUCUUUUUUAUAUAUAAUCCCAAAUUUAAGGAUGAUUUAAGUAAAUCAGAGUUGCACAAAAAUUUUUAAAAUUUUAUUGACUUUGCUUGGUAUAAAGGAUAAAAAAUUAUAAAUAUGAAAGAAAAAAACUUUUAAUUUAUUGACUAAGUUUCAUAACCUUUUUUUUUUUUUUUUAUUGCUUAUCCCUUACAUUAAAUUUUUUUUAUCCUUACCUUUUACUUACCUCCAGCAAAAUUAUUUUUGAAUAAAAUUGAACAAAUUUUAGAAAAUUAGAUAAAGAGAUAUGGAGAAGGUUUGAGAGAGAAGAAAAAAGAAAGAGAGAAAGAGAAGAGGAAGGGAAAGCAGGUCAUUACCGCCAAGAUGCGGAUCCAGUUGACAUGCCUCGGCCUAGGCAGAUCGGCAACCAUCUAACUGUUUCGAUCAAAUGAGAAGCAAAGUCACUUUUUAUAAUUCAAUUAAUUUAUAAAUUAUUUUAAAAUUUUAUUUAUCAAAAUUAAAAUUUAAAACAAAUAUAAUACUUUUCCUUAUCACAGGUUGCGAUUUUUCCCUAUAAAAACAAGCCACUUUCUGUUCUCCUAUGCCAAAAUUAAGUCUUUAAAAAAAGGGCAAAAGAUAAAAAAAAAAAAAAAAAAAAAACCUAUCGCUUUCUUUUAGUACGAUACAAGAACAGACAAUAAUAACAGUGAGAGAUGUAGAGUCUAUCUCUCGUUUUUUGCUAAUACAGAUAUACAUAUCUCCAGAGAUUUCCAUUGACGCAAAUGCUCCAUUGCCUUCUUCUUCAGACGCCGCUGCUAGCUCCACGUGGCAUUCAUGUCCAUCUCACCCUCCCUUCAACUACUUCAACAUAAAUUUUCGUACUGAGUUUUUUUUUUAAACCCAUCAUUUUAUACGUACACGUAUAUUGUAGGUGAAGUUUUUAAAUCUAAAAAAGUUAAAUGAUAUUUGUAUACGUGUUAACCUUAUACUUUAUAUUUUUACCAAUAAUCUCGGAAAGUUUGAAAACUUCGUUGACACGUACAAAAUAACUUUUUUAUAUUAUUUUCCUUUUUUAAAUUAUUUCAAACCAGAAUAUAAGGGUUUCACGUGUUCCCAAAAUUAAUUCUUAAUAUAUUUAAAAAGUUUUAAGUGAGAGCAAGUUUCUGUAUUUCAAAAUGAAAUCAAAUUAUAAAUUUCCAAAAACAUUUAUAUUGAAUUUAUAAAUUAUUCAUAAAAAAUUAUUGAUAGCUACAGGCGAAUAUAAUUUUAAACUCAAAAGCAAGGAGGUGAAUGAAAACUUGACGAAGUAAAAAAAAUAGUAGUAGUAAUUUUAUUUUCCCUUACUAAUUAAAAAAGAAAAGUGAUUAAAAGUUGCAGUUACCUAACGGGAUUUCUCUGUUCUUUAUAUAUUUGAUUUCCACGCACUUGUGUUCUCUUUAAUUUGUUGGGAUAUUUUAGGGGUUGGAGAAGAGGCGUGUACUGUAUGUAUAUGCAUGUAAUGUAACUCUUUUCCUGAUCAAAAAAAGUGGCGGAUAUCAAUUAGGUGUAGGGCCAAUCAUACAUGCAUGCAUUUCUUUAAGGGGGAAAACAAGCCAAUGUGGGAUCCCAUUGUUCGCAUCUAAUUGUUUAUAGAAACGACAUAAAAAAAGAUAAACAAAACAUGAGAUCUUAUAACCAUAAGUCGUUCCUACAGCCUAAAAUUCAAUAAUAAUCUUUUCCCUUCCAACACGUAACUCUUUUGACCUUAACUUU
rnacentral:lncRNA from 1 species